rnacentral:tRNA from 1 species
UGGAGUACAGCUCAGUGGUAGAGCAUGAGCUUAGUAUGCACAAGGCCCUGGUUUUGAUUCCCAGCACUGCAA